rnacentral:rRNA from 1 species
AGUGAAUGCUGGCGGUAGGCCUAACACAUGCAAGUCGAACGGCAGCACAGUAAGAGCUUGCUCUUACGGGUGGCGAGUGGCGGACGGGUGAGGAAUACAUCGGAAUCUACUUUUUCGUGGGGGAUAACGUAGGGAAACUUACGCUAAUACCGCAUACGACCUACGGGUGAAAGCAGGGGAUCUUCGGACCUUGCGCGAUUGAAUGAGCCGAUGUCGGAUUAGCUAGUUGGCGGGGUAAAGGCCCACCAAGGCGACGAUCCGUAGCUGGUCUGAGAGGAUGAUCAGCCACACUGGAACUGAGACACGGUCCAGACUCCUACGGGAGGCAGCAGUGGGGAAUAUUGGACAAUGGGCGCAAGCCUGAUCCAGCCAUACCGCGUGGGUGAAGAAGGCCUUCGGGUUGUAAAGCCCUUUUGUUGGGAAAGAAAAGCAGCAGGUUAAUACCCCGCUGUUCCGACGGUACCCAAAGAAUAAGCACCGGCUAACUUCGUG